rnacentral:snoRNA from 1 species
AUGCAUAUCUGACAGACCUGGAGCAGUUAGUGUCUGCCUCUAAGGUUUUCAUUAUAGAUGCAAGAGAAAGAAGGUCCUUGUGCUUUCUGUCUGUCUGGUCCUGAAAGCCAAGAUUGAAUGGAGGGGAAUACAG